GACGGACGCUGGCGGCGUGCUUAACACAUGCAAGUCGAGCGGAAAGGCCCUUCGGGGUACUCGAGCGGCGAACGGGUGAGUAACACGUGAGUAACCUGCCCCAGACUUUGGGAUAACCCUCGGAAACGGGGGCUAAUACCGGAUACGACACAGCUUCGCAUGGGGUCUGUGUGGAAAGUUUUUCGGUUUGGGAUGGGCUCGCGGCCUAUCAGCUUGUUGGUGGGGUGAUGGCCUACCAAGGCGACGACGGGUAGCCGGCCUGAGAGGGCGACCGGCCACACUGGGACUGAGACACGGCCCAGACUCCUACGGGAGGCAGCAGUGGGGAAUAUUGCACAAUGGGCGGAAGCCUGAUGCAGCGACGCCGCGUGAGGGAUGACGGCCUUCGGGUUGUAAACCUCUUUCAGCAGGGACGAAGCGUAAGUGACGGUACCUGCAGAAGAAGCGCCGGCCAACUACGUG
rnacentral:rRNA from 1 species